GCCGGUGUGGCUCAGUGGAUAGAGCAUCAGCCUGCAGAACGAAGGGUACCGGGGUCAAUUCCGGUCAAGGGCA
rnacentral:tRNA from 1 species